AUGAACACAUCCACUUGGGACAUGAGUUCUUCGUCAUCUUCAUCUGGCGACGAUGAACUCAUACUUGCAGCAUUCGCCGAGCGGGAGGAGGAAGAGAGGAAGAACGGUCGACGCCAUGGCGGUUCCAAGCAUGGACGUCAGUCAAUCGAUCGAGGAAGAGAUGCCGGAUUUCUUCUUCUGUGGGACGACUAUUUCAAAGAAGUUCCUCGCUUUCCUGAACAUUUGUUUCGACGAAGAUUUAGGAUGUCGCGUACUUUGUUCAACCGCAUAGCUGAUGGUAUACUUGAGCAUGACUAUGAUGAUUAUUUUACGCAAAAAAGAAGUGCUUCUGGAGCUCUUGGGUUACAUCCUUUGCAAAAGAUGACCGCGGCGAUGCGGAUACUAACAUAUGGAAUAGCAGCCGAUUAUGUUGAUGAGUACAUCCGGUCCGCUGAGUCUACUAAUUUAGAGUCUUGCAAGAAAUUUGUGAUCAAAAUUUGUGAAGUUUUUGGGGAAAAGUACCUGAGAUCUCCAAAUGAAGAAGACAUUGCUAGGUUACUUGCAAUAGGGGAGGAAAGAGGAUUUCCCGGUAUGUUAGGGAGCAUAGAUUGCAUGCACUGGGGGUGGAAAAAUUGCCCCCAAAAAUGGCAUGGCAUGUUUAAAGGCCAUGUGAGCGAGCCCACUAUGAUCUUGGAAGCAGUUGCUUCACAAGAUCUUUGGAUUUGGCAUGCUUAUUUUGGUUUACCAGGGUCUCUGAAUGAUAUAAAUGUUCUUCAACGUUCUCCUGUUUUUACAAAGCUAGCCGAAGGCCAAACUCCUCCAGUGAAUUAUAGCAUCAAUGGCCAUCAGUACACAAUGGGGUAUUACCUUGCAGAUGGUAUCUAUCCACGGUGGGCAACAUUUGUGAAGAGCAUACCAGCUCCAACUAGCAGAAAGCAUAAAACUUUUGCCAAGAAGCAAGAGGGGGCUAGGAAAGAUGUGGAACGAGCCUUUGGAGUUCUGCAAUCCCGUUUUGCCGUUGUUCGUGGACCUGCUAAAGGAUGGAAACGUAAAGAAAUCACUGAUGUCAUGAAAGCUUGUGUCAUAAUGCACAAUAUGAUAGUUGAAGAGGUGCGGCAAACUGGUCGGCAAAGCUGCACUUUUGAGGCAAUGGGAGAAAGAGUCACAGUCUCUCGUACUCAUGCGGAAGAACUGAGCUCUUUUAUUCAGAUGACUAAUCGGAUUAGAAAUUUCGAUGAACAUGAUCAGCUUAAACUUGAUCUAAUUGACUAUGUCUGGCAAAAGUUUGGAAACGAGUGA
rnacentral:rRNA from 1 species